ACCCGCUGAACUUAAGCAUAUCAAUAAGCGGAGGAAAAGAAACCAACAGGGAUUGCCUCAGUAACGGCGAGUGAAGCGGCAAUAGCUCAAAUUUGAAAUCUGGCUCUUUCAGGGUCCGAGUUGUAAUUUGCAGAGGGCGCUUUGGCGUCGGCAGCGGCCUAAGUUCCUUGGAACAGGUCAUCAUAGAGGGUGAGAAUCCCGUAUGUGGCUGACUGUCUUCACCGUGUAAAGCCCCUUCGACGAGUCGAGUUGUUUGGGAAUGCAGCUCUAAAUGGGAGGUAAAUUUCUUCUAAAGCUAAAUAUUGGCCAGAGACCGAUAGCGCACAAGUAGAGUGAUCGAAAGAUGAAAAGCACUUUGGAAAGAGAGUCAAAAAGCACGUGAAAUUGUUGAAAGGGAAGCGCUUGCAGCCAGACGUGCCCGCAGUUGCUCAUCCGGGGUUCUCCCCGGUGCACUCUUCUGUGGGCAGGCCAGCAUCAGUCCGGGCGGUUGGAGAAAGACCUGUGUCAUGUAGCUGUUUUCGGGCAGUGUUAUAGGGCAGGUGGAAUGCAACCAGCCUGGACUGAGGUCCGCGCAUCUGCUAGGAUGCUGGCGUAAUGGCUGUAAGCGGCCCGUCUUGAAACACGGACCAAGGAGUCUAACAUCUAUGCGAGUGUUUGGGUGUCAAGCCCGAGCGCGUAAUGAAAGUGAACGGAGGUGGGAACCCUCGGGUGCACCAUCGACCGAUCCUGAUGUCUUCGGAUGGAUUUGAGUAAGAGCAUAGCUGUUGGGACCCGAAAGAUGGUGAACUAUGCCUGAAUAGGGUGAAGCCAGAGGAAACUCUGGUGGAGGCUCGCAGCGGUUCUGACGUGCAAAUCGAUCGUCAAA
rnacentral:rRNA from 1 species